AACCGGUAUUGUGUUCACUGUGAAAUUGUGAAAAAAGUAAAAAAAAAGCUAUUCGUUUCCUAACAUUUCAAUUGGAUACCAUCAAAUCAAUCACAUGUAUUGUGCAAAUUUUUACUCAAUUUCAACAGCAGGCAUUUGUCUUUAAGGUGCGCGUGAGCACACGAAGAUCAUUGGCAUCAUUCAAUCGCUUGGCAUUCUAAUAUGAUCCCACUGUGAACUACCGUGAUGAUGAAAAUGUAUAUAUUGGACCAGUGACUACUGUAUGCCGAUAUUGCAAUGCUUUAAAGUCCAAAGAGAAACGGCUGCGCAAGUGGAACAGUCAAAAUGGAUCCAUUACUUACACCACAACAGCCACUGAAACCAUUGCUCGAUGGAAGUGAUCCCGAUUCCAGCUAUUUUCUUCAACAAAGCAAUAACUGCUUUUGCAUGACUUCCUUUGGAGCUAAUAUCAUUCGAGAAGGCGGCUUCUUGCCGAGUUGCAAGAUACAAGGACAAAUAUUUUGCAUGGUUCAAUGCUGCCAACACCAGAUGAACCGCUUAAAUUUCUGCAAAUAUAUUUCAUUUCGUCGAUGGUGGAUCAGCUGAAUGUCAGUUGCAAUAUACAGGGAACACAGCAGCUAAAGGGACAAAUUGUUGAACAAUUGCAAGCAUUUUUUCACGCUAAUAAUGCUGUGGUUAAUAUGUUCAAAGCAGCAUUGGAACGAAUGCCAUCGGAUACGCAAAAUUUUGACAUAAGAGCGGAUUGUACCCCAACAGGUGAACAUGUGCCAAGAUUCAAUGAAGAUCCUCGAGACAUUGCACUAUGGGGAAUUUUACCACUUUUUUUUGGAGAAAACCAAAAGUUCUAACCUAAAAAAAAACCAAAACCAAAAGUUAAUUUGUAUUUUUAAAUGGAGCUACAAAUUGAUUCCUCCUGUUUCCACCUCUGAAACCUUUAGUCUUGUAUAGUAUUUAGUUCUUUCUCUAAAAUUUUGCUUUAA